rnacentral:rRNA from 1 species
UAGCAUAUCAAUAAGCGGAGGAAAAGAAACCAACAGGGAUUGCCUCAGUAACGGCGAGUGAAGCGGCAACAGCUCAAAUUUGAAAUCUGGCCUCUUUGGGGUCCGAGUUGUAAUUUGUAGAGGAUGUUUCGGGUACCGCCUCGGUUUAAAUUUCUUGGAACAGAAUGUCAGAGAGGGUGAGAAUCCCGUCUUGGACCGGCGGUAGGGCCCAUGUGAAACUCCUUCGACGAGUCGAGUUGUUUGGGAAUGCAGCUCAAAAUGGGUGGUAAAUUUCAUCUAAAGCUAAAUAUUGGCCAGAGACCGAUAGCGCACAAGUAGAGUGAUCGAAAGAUGAAAAGAACUUUGAAAAGAGAGUUAAACAGUAUGUGAAAUUGUUGAAAGGGAAGCGCUUGCAACCAGACUUGAGCGCGGCGGUUCCCCCUUCCUUUUGGUUGGGUUACUCCGCCGUGUCCAGGCCAACAUCGGUUCUGGGGGUCGGUUAAAGGCCCGGGGAAUGUACCUACUCCUUCGGGGGUAGACUUAUAGCCCCGGGUGUCAUGCGACCACCCGGGACCGAGGAACGCGCUUCGGCUCGGAUGCUGGCGUAAUGGUUGUCAGCGACCCGUCUUGAAACACGGACCAAGGAGUCUAACAUCUAUGCGAGUGUUUGGGUGUCAAACCCGGAACGCGAAAUGAAAGUGAACGGAGGUAGGAAGCCUUUGGGCUGCACUAUCGACCGAUCCUGAUGUCUUCGGAUGGAUUUGAGUAAGAGCAUAGCUGUUGGGACCCGAAAGAUGGUGAACUAUGCCUGAAUAGGGUGAAGCCAGAGGAAACUCUGGUGGAGGCUCGCAGCGGUUCUGACGUGCAAAUCGAUCGUCAAAUUUGGGUAUAGGGGCGAAAGACUAAUCGAACCAUCUGGUAGCUGGUUCCUGCGA